UCAUGGCUCAGGAUGAACGCUGGCGGCGCGCCUAACACAUGCAAGUCGAACGGUUAAAGCCCCUUCGGGGGUGUAUAAAGUGGCGAACGGCUGAGUAACACGUGGGCAACCUACCUCUUGCUCUGGGAUAGCCUCGAGAAAUCGUGGGUAAUACCGGAUACUCCGUAACCGUCGCAUGGCGGAUACGGGAAAGCGCAUACGGCAAGAGAUGGGCCCGCGGCCUGUUAGCUUGUUGGUGGGGUAACGGCCUACCAAGGCUAUUAUGGGUAGCUGGGUUGAGAGACCGACCAGCCAGAUUGGGACUGAGACACGGCCCAGACUCCUACGGGAGGCAGCAGUGGGGAAUCUUGCACAAUGGGCGAAAGCCUGAUGCAGCGACGCCGCGUGCGGGAUGAAGGCCCUAUGGGUUGUAAACCGCUUUCAGCAGGGACGAGGCCGCAAGGUGACGGUACCUGCAGAAGAAGCCCCGGCUAACUACGUGCCAGCAGCCGCGGUAAUACGUAGGGGGCAAGCGUUAUCCGGAUUCAUUGGGCGUAAAGCGCUCGUAGGCGGCUUGUUAGGUCGGGAGUUAAAUCCCGGGGCUCAACCCCGGCACGCUCCCGAUACCGGCAGGCUUGAGUUUGGUAGGGGAAAGUGGAAUUCCAAGUGUAGCGGUGGAAUGCGCAGAUAUUUGGAAGAAC
rnacentral:rRNA from 1 species